CAGAUGAGCCCACGUCCGAUUAGCUAGUUGGUGGGGUAACGGCCUACCAAGGCGACGAUCGGUAGCUGGUCUGAGAGGACGACCAGCCACACUGGGACUGAGACACGGCCCAGACUCCUACGGGAGGCAGCAGUGGGGAAUUUUGGACAAUGGGCGAAAGCCUGAUCCAGCGAUGCCGCGUGGGUGAAGAAGGCCUGCGGGUUGUAAAGCCCUUUCGAUGGGGAAGAAAAGCCUGGAGCCAAUACCUCCGGGUCUUGACGUUACCCAGAGAAGAAGCACCGGCUAACUCCGUGCCAGCAGCCGCGGUAAUACGGAGGGUGCAAG
rnacentral:rRNA from 1 species